CUUUCCCUCUUUCUUUCGGCCUAACACAUGCAAGUCGAACGGCAGCACAGUAAGAGCUUGCUCUUACGGGUGGCGAGUGGCGGACGGGUGAGGAAUACAUCGGAAUCUACUUUUUCGUGGGGGAUAACGUAGGGAAACUUACGCUAAUACCGCAUACGACCUACGGGUGAAAGCAGGGGAUCUUCGGACCUUGCGCGAUUGAAUGAGCCGAUGUCGGAUUAGCUAGUUGGCGGGGUAAAGGCCCACCAAGGCGACGAUCCGUAGCUGGUCUGAGAGGAUGAUCAGCCACACUGGAACUGAGACACGGUCCAGACUCCUACGGGAGGCAGCAGUGGGGAAUAUUGGACAAUGGGCGCAAGCCUGAUCCAGCCAUACCGCGUGGGUGAAGAAGGCCUUCGUGUUGUAAAGCCCUUUUGUUGGGAAAGAAAAGCAGCAGGUUAAUACCCCGCUGUUCUGACGGUACCCAAAGAAUAAGCACCGGCUAACUUCGUG
rnacentral:rRNA from 1 species